ACAAAUUCUCUAAUCAGUUUACUCUUCCAAUGUACUUCAGUCCAUGCAUUUACUCCAAUGGCACAAAUUCAGAGAAAGGGAGGGCAGCAACAUUCUGCACUUUCGAUCUUGCGGCGGAGCUUGGCUUCGGUUUCGUAGACGGAAUGACACUCGGACCCGUCUCGAAAUAUGACAGUAAAACCUAGUAUCCGAAUCAACGAAGCACGUCAGGCUUUGGGAAUCUGCAACCACUAUUCCUGAUAAGACCCUCCAACGCCUAUCAAUUCUAUGAUCUUUGACCUGUGUUUCACUAGUUCUUUUUUUCUCUCUCUUGUACACGUGGAGGUUGCCUAAUAAACCCGACGGAUCAGCUGCCUGCCUGUCCUGGAGUUUGUAACGACUGACCUAGCAGUAGAGAAUGUACCCAUGGAAUACCCCUAUUUUUUCCAGAUUUAAUGCGGCAAUAUAGUAGUAUGCCGCGUGUAUCGAUACAUAACGCUGUUACUAUUUCUCUUUUUACAUUAUUGCUGAAGAUUUAUCUGUUGUGCUUCCAUGCAAAGAAAUACAAGGUCUUUCUAAGA